rnacentral:tRNA from 1 species
AGGGGUGUAGCUCAGUUGGUAGAGCACCGGUCUCCAAAACCGGUUGUCGUAGGUUCGAGCCCUACCGCCCCUG